rnacentral:rRNA from 1 species
GACGAACGCUGGCGGCGUGCUUAACACAUGCCAGUCGAACGGAAAGGCCCUGCUUUUGUGGGGUGCUCGAGUGGCGAACGGGUGAGUAACACGUGAGUAACCUGCCCUUGACUUUGGGAUAACUUCAGGAAACUGGGGCUAAUACCGGAUAGGAGCUCCUGCUGCAUGGUGGGGGUUGGAAAGUUUCGGCGGUUGGGGAUGGACUCGCGGCUUAUCAGCUUGUUGGUGGGGUAGUGGCUUACCAAGGCUUUGACGGGUAGCCGGCCUGAGAGGGUGACCGGCCACAUUGGGACUGAGAUACGGCCCAGACUCCUACGGGAGGCAGCAGUGGGGAAUAUUGCACAAUGGGCGGAAGCCAGAUGCAGCAACGCCGCGUGCGGGAUGACGGCCUUCGGGUUGUAAACCGCUUUCGCCUGUGACGAAGCGUGAGUGACGGUAAUGGGUAAAGAAGCACCGGCUAACUACGUG